ACACCCCAGCCCGAUCUCAAUGGAUACCACACCCCAGCCCGAUCUCAAUAUCUAUCGUGCAGGGGUCUGGCAGGAUGACUGUAGAAAGGCUCUCGAAGGCCCUUGAUAAGAGGGAGGGAAAAAAAUAGACAGGACAACAGGACAAUUCAACGUCAUAUUGCCACAACGAACUCGAUCUGGGCCCAUUUCGAGCAGCUGGGUUACUCUAUCCGGUUAGGACUUUCACGUUGAUGCCAAAGUCCUCAUCAACUGCAAACCAAUCAUCGCGUUUUGUAAGACCCAUCGAGGCGACCAUACCUCUGACAGUGAGCAGACUAGUUCGCACAGUAGGAUAAGAAAGGUUUUUGGUUCACAGGCCAGAUACUCACAACAGACAGCAGACGUUUCGGUGACAGUCUGUCACCUUUCUCAUAGCAAUACUGACUUCUACAUACUGGUUUAAUUUCACAGUACGGCUAGGUGUCUUUGCUAGCAAUGCGGUCCAAAACAUAAAGUAUUGUCAUAUCCACAAGUAUAGAUAUUGUCCAUCAGCAAUCCAGCAGUUCGUUCAGCAUUAGGCAACCUCACUAAAAUGGUCCACAGCUUGAAAAUGAUCAUGAAAUGCUUUAUGUUUCUCAUUUUCAUGCAACUAUUUACAAUAUUGGGUGUUUCCCUUCCAACCAGAUGUUAUGUUAAAGAUGGUCGUCUCACUGAGAUUCAUUGCCCACGUUCCAACAUAACCCGUCUACCAGCUAAACCACCGCGCUUCUUGCAAAAUAUAUUCCUUCAGCAAAAUCGCAUCGAAACCAUCCAUGACUUAUCUGGCUUUCCCUUUGUCAGCAAGAUGAAUCUCAGCCAUAAUCUCAUCAAAAUAUUCCCAUGGGAAUCUUUGAAACAAAUGAAGAGCCUUCAGAUACUUGAUUUAUCUCAUAAUCGGAUAACCUCCGUUAGGCUUGACCUGGUCACAGAAGGUGCGACGGGUCUAUAUACGGUGAACAUGGCCUGCAAUCGGCUGAUGGCCUUCUCUUUGGCAAACCUGGUCAAUCCUUCUCUAAGCCGUACCAUAUACCAGCAUACAGAAGGAGGGAUGAGGUAUAUAAAUGGUAAUCCGAUUCUCUGUGACUGCCGCAUGUCCUGGUUGGCAGAAAUGGCCCUCGCGUUUCACAAGUGUUGGCCACUCACUUGUACACCUGAAGUCAGAAAGGGGCUGCUUUUUGACGACUUUAUUGUCAACCGUUUGCCUAAAUGUAGCGGUCCUGAAAGCCUAAAAGAUGCCCCGCUACACGAGGCAAACUUAAAUGUCUGCCCAGCAAAAGAAGAAAAAGUGACCGGAAAACAACUUACCAUAUUAGAAAAUACCACGACAUACUUCGUCAGCAUUUCUGUACCACUUCUGCAAGCCGAAAGGAACCAGACCAAAUUCACUCGACAACAUCUGACUCUGAUAAAUA